GAUAAACGCUGGCGGUAUGCCUAAGACAUGCAAGUCGAGCGCCCCGCAAGGGGAGCGGCAGACGGGUGAGUAACGCGUGGGAAUCUACCCAUCUCUACGGAAUAACGCAUGGAAACGUGUGCUAAUACCGUAUACGUCCUUCGGGAGAAAGAUUUAUCGGAGAUGGAUGAGCCCGCGUUGGAUUAGCUAGUUGGUGGGGUAAAGGCCUACCAAGGCGACGAUCCAUAGCUGGUCUGAGAGGAUGAUCAGCCACACUGGGACUGAGACACGGCCCAGACUCCUACGGGAGGCAGCAGUGGGGAAUAUUGGACAAUGGGCGCAAGCCUGAUCCAGCCAUGCCGCGUGAGUGAUGAAGGCCCUAGGGUUGUAAAGCUCUUUCACCGGUGAAGAUAAUGACGGUAACCGGAGAAGAAGCCCCGGCUAACUUCGUGCCAGCAGCCGCCGUAA
rnacentral:rRNA from 1 species